rnacentral:rRNA from 1 species
AUUGAACGCUGGCGGCAUGCCUUACACAUGCAAGUCGAACGGUAACGGGCCUUCGGGUGCCGACGAGUGGCGAACGGGUGAGUAAUACAUCGGAACGUGCCCGAUCGUGGGGGAUAACGAGGCGAAAGCUUUGCUAAUACCGCAUACGAUCUACGGAUGAAAGCAGGGGACCGCAAGGCCUUGCGCGGACGGAGCGGCCGAUGGCAGAUUAGGUAGUUGGUGGGAUAAAAGCUUACCAAGCCGACGAUCUGUAGCUGGUCUGAGAGGAUGAUCAGCCACACUGGGACUGAGACACGGCACAGACUCCUACGGGAGGCAGCAGUGGGGAAUUUUGGACAAUGGGCGCAAGCCUGAUCCAGCCAUGCCGCGUGCAGGAUGAAGGCCUUCGGGUUGUAAACUGCUUUUGUACGGAACGAAAAGCCUUCUUUUAAUACAGGAGGGUCAUGACGGUACCGUAAGAAUAAGCACCGGCUAACUACGU